CAGCCCAAGGAAGAGGGCCUGGUGAGUGACCCCACUCCUUGUAGCCUGGUGGUGACCCUGGUGGUCUUCUCCCAGUGGGACCUAAUGUGAUCGAUGCCCCUGUGCCUGGAUCUGCUGGGCUGCAUUGGUGUUCUGCCCUGUCUCAUGGACCUACUCCCGUCUGCCCCUGCCCAGGGAUGUAUCAGUAACUCUUUGUGUUUCUCCCUUAGAGAUCCACUGGGAGGCUGGGCGAGUGUGUGUGGGGUGGCUGGGGGAGGAGGAGGAGGAGGCAAGAGGCAAAGAAAAGAAAGGGAAAGAAGCUCUUGGUCGGUCCUAGCACCAUGAGGCCACCACUAAGACUGAGGCUGGCAGGAGGAACUCAACACAUCCUGAGGGAUUGAUUUCAAAAAUGUGUUUGCUCUGUGCCCUUCUCCCGAUGUUUACAUCUGCAGCAUCCAGAAAUGUGGCAGCCCACAUCACUCUCCCCCUUAAAAGACAAGGAAAGCAGCUGGG
rnacentral:lncRNA from 1 species